UUGAACGCUGGCGGCAGGCCUAACACAUGCAAGUCGAGCGGUAACACAGAGAGCUUGCUCUCGGGUGACGAGCGGCGGACGGGUGAGUAAUGUCUGGGAAACUGCCUGAUGGAGGGGGAUAACUACUGGAAACGGUAGCUAAUACCGCAUAACGUCGCAAGACCAAAGUGGGGGACCUUCGGGCCUCAUGCCAUCAGAUGUGCCCAGAUGGGAUUAGCUAGUAGGUGGGGUAACGGCUCACCUAGGCGACGAUCCCUAGCUGGUCUGAGAGGAUGACCAGCCACACUGGAACUGAGACACGGUCCAGACUCCUACGGGAGGCAGCAGUGGGGAAUAUUGCACAAUGGGCGCAAGCCUGAUGCAGCCAUGCCGCGUGUGUGAAGAAGGCCUUCGGGUUGUAAAGCACUUUCAGCGGGGAGGAAGGCGGUGAGGUUAAUAACCUCAUCGAUUGACGUUACCCGCAGAAGAAGCACCGGCCAACUCCGUGCCAGCAGCCGCGGUAAUACGGAGGGUGCAAGCGUUAAUCGGAAUUACUGGGCGUAAAGCGCACGCAGGCGGUCUGUCAAGUCGGAUGUGAAAUCCCCGGGCUCAACCUGGGAACUGCAUUCGAAACUGGCAGGCUAGAGUCUUGUAGAGGGGGGUAGAAUUCCAGGUGUAGCGGUGAAAUGCGUAGAGAUCUGGAGGAAUACCGGUGGCGAAGGCGGCCCCCUGGACAAAGACUGACGCUCAGGUGCGAAAGCGUGGGGAGCAAACAGGAUUAGAUACCCUGGUAGUCCACGCCGUAAACGAUGUCGAUUUGGAGGUUGUGCCCUUGAGGCGUGGCUUCCGGAGCUAACGCGUUAAAUCGACCGCCUGGGGAGUACGGCCGCAAGGUUAAAACUCAAAUGAAUUGACGGGGGCCCGCACAAGCGGUGGAGCAUGUGGUUUAAUUCGAUGCAACGCGAAGAACCUUACCUGGUCUUGACAUCCACAGAACUUUCCAGAGAUGGAUUGGUGCCUUCGGGAACUGUGAGACAGGUGCUGCAUGGCUGUCGUCAGCUCGUGUUGUGAAAUGUUGGGUUAAGUCCCGCAACGAGCGCAACCCUUAUCCUUUGUUGCCAGCGGUUCGGCCGGGAACUCAAAGGAGACUGCCAGUGAUAAACUGGAGGAAGGUGGGGAUGACGUCAAGUCAUCAUGGCCCUUACGACCAGGGCUACACACGUGCUACAAUGGCAUAUACAAAGAGAAGCGACCUCGCGAGAGCAAGCGGACCUCAUAAAGUAUGUCGUAGUCCGGAUUGGAGUCUGCAACUCGACUCCAUGAAGUCGGAAUCGCUAGUAAUCGUAGAUCAGAAUGCUACGGUGAAUACGUUCCCGGGCCUUGUACACACCGCCCGUCACACCAUGGGAGUGGGUUGCAAAAGAAGUAGGUAGCUUAACCUUCGGGAGGGCGCUUACCACUUUGUGAUUCAUGACUGGGGUG
rnacentral:rRNA from 1 species